GACGAACGCUGGCGGCGUGCUUAACACAUGCAAGUCGAACGGUAAGGCCCUUUCGGGGGUACACGAGUGGCGAACGGGUGCGUAAUACGUGGGUGAUCUGCCCUGCACUUUGGGAUAAGCCUGGGAAACUGGGUCUAAUACCGGAUAGGACUACGCGAUGCAUGUCGUGUGGUGGAAAGCUUUUGCGGUGUGGGAUGGGCCCGCGGCCUAUCAGCUUGUUGGUGGGGUGAUGGCCUACCAAGGCGACGACGGGUAGCCGGCCUGAGAGGGUGUCCGGCCACACUGGGACUGAGAUACGGCCCAGACUCCUACGGGAGGCAGCAGUGGGGAAUAUUGCACAAUGGGCGCAAGCCUGAUGCAGCGACGCCGCGUGGGGGAUGACGGCCUUCGGGUUGUAAACCCCUUUCAGCACAGACGAAGCGUAAGUGACGGUAGGUGCAGAAGAAGCACCGGCCAACUACGUG
rnacentral:rRNA from 1 species